UCUCCCGAUACAUCCACUCAUCCUCGCCUUCCCUUUUUACUACUCUGCUACUUCCUGAAGAGCGAGCUUCACUAAAGAGGAACAUAUGAAGUCAGGAACCAGGGUGAUGUAAGGAGCUCUUGAUACCUUCUAAGGAGACCUGAACUUGGGAGAUGACUGCUCUGCCAGCUGACUUUGUAGCCCCCAACUUCCUGCAGCUAGACUGGUGACGGUGGGGACCUAGACUGGAGAGACAGACAAGUGAUCUCUUACUGCAUACCUCUGCAAUGAGGGACUGAAGAGGAGAAGGAAGACAGACAUAUCUUUAGAUCUCAGCCAAGGCUCCAGAGGAGACUCUGCUCCUUGUCUCUCCUGUUUUCCAGAGGCACCAUAACCAUCCCUGCCAGUUGGAAUGAAGAUGUUCUGAAGAGGUACUUGUGCCACUCCCUUUGAGUAUCAGGCUAUGGAGACAGUGCACCUCAAGGAAUUGGAAUUUCCCCAGGAAUCUCUUGAUGAGAGAAGGAAAAUGAUGGAUCCUGGUGACAGUUAGUUGGGGAACUUUGUCUCCAGGAAAGCGACUUCACACAUUUCUGACAAAUUGUCAGAUCAUCUUGCAGAAGACACUGGAACUGAGAUGAUGCAUGGUGGGUGGAACCACACUCUCUCUGUUAGGAUUUCUAUGGCUGUGAAGAUACGCCAUGACCAUGGCAACUCUUAUAAAGAAAAACAUUUAACUGGGGCUGCCUUACAAUUUCAGAAGUUUAGUCUGUACUGUCAUGGCAGGAACCAUGGUGGCAUGCAGGCAGACAUGGUGCUGGAGAAGGAGCUGAGAGUUCUACAUCCAGAUUGGCAAGCAGCAGGAAGAGAGAAUGACACUGGGCCUGGCUUGAGCAUCUGAAACCUCAAAACCCACCCCCAGUGACACACUUCUCCCCAAAAGGCCACACCUACUCCAACAAGGCCACAUCUCCCUCCUAAUUGUGCCACUCCCUAUGAACCUGUGGGGCCAUUUUCAUUCAAACCACCAUACAUACCUUGAUCAGAACUGCUAGGUCACACAUACUGCUUGCCUUGUCUUUAAAACUAAACCUCGUAUCAGGAUCUUGAGCUUGGGGUCAUUGGAUCUCAUUGAUUCUCUUCCCCCAUGUGGCCACAUAGAAGAAAUCUCCUUUUAUCUUGCUUUUCAUUAUUACUCAUUUUUUCCACUGGCAUACUGAGAAUGAUCAGCAGAGCCUACAUUGCUCAGGAUAACUCUAAUAACUCCAGUAACAGCAUUACUUGGCUUGGGACACAUUCCUCUAAGGAUGCAGUCUUCUGAAUCUACUCAUUGAUCUCCCAGGCUGUCUACCUUUCUCCACCUCCAUUCCAGCACCAUACUCAGCACCCACAUAGGACUAGAAAGCCUGCAAUCCAAGACAGCCAACACAAUAAAGAGAUGUUCCAAUGCUUUAAAAAAUUUCCCUCAAAAUAUAGACUCUAUAUUUAUAAUAGAGUCUUAUGGGGUCCUUUCAUUUUCACUUUAGGAAGUGAAUUUUUCAGGUAUGUGUACCAUUUCCCUCCAAUGAAAGGCAUUUCUGCCCUGCUCCCUGACAUUCUCUUAUAUCGAUCAAAUGUCCAGAAAAACUUAAAAGGAGACAUGGCCCCACAAGGACACACAGCCUCGAUGCCAUUGCAGCCCUCAUCAUUUAUAAUAUUCAUACUUAAUUCAACGCUUGGGCCUUUUUAAAAAUGAACUUUUAAAACCGUUAGAGACAAGUUCAUCAGUUAAUACUAUUUUAUCUCCCAGACCUACAUAAAUAAGAAUACUAAAUGACCCCAGGGCAAUUUUCACCUCUUACUUGACAAUUUAAUUUGUUUAAUAUGAACUCCGUUCUCAUGAAGUCCUUCAUAUCUCAGGGGAGAGGUAAUGUACUUGAGUUUCCAUGGGCACAUGAGAACACUACCCCUUCGAGACUCAGAUGCUGUUUUUAUAUGUGUAUGGCUAUAACCGAAGCACUGGGAUUACUUAAGCUAACAAGUGUGGAUUCAGCCUAAUAGGAAUGCAAACAGACCUGAAUUCAUCGUUUUGUUAAUGGGUCUUUCCUGGUGCACUCAUCAACUUCCAUUCCCUUCCCUGCCCUAAUAAACACACUGUACUAUUUUA